GGGGAUGUAGCUCAGAA
rnacentral:siRNA from 1 species